rnacentral:tRNA from 1 species
GCUAGGCUCGCUUAGUCGGUAGAGCACGAGACUCUUAAUCUACGGGUUGUGGGUUCGAGCCCCACGAUGGGCG